CCAAGGUUUUUGUUCCUAAACAAUCUUCUCCCUUCCUGGGUUAAAGUGUCCAUGAGUACAGAGAACUCAGACCGCAUCACUUAACCUCUUGACUCAGAUUCUUUAACAGAAGAGGAGAAAGAGAGUCUGGUGAAGAAUAAAAGGAAUAAUACUGUGCCUUGAAAAAUCACUAGCCUGAACAAAUUGAAAAUCUCCUAAAUCCCCUUCAGCUCCAUCAUCAAAUGGUCAUUUGCUCCAGGCAAGAAGACUCAUAGGUAAUGUUUCCUGUCCUUCAUGGAAAAUUAACUCAAAACAGAUCCACACUAAAUGGAAGAGCCACUCUGUGGAAAGAUGAUAUGUGACUAUUGGUCACAGAACCAUUGGUGGUUCAAUGGUUCUGAGGGUAGCACAAAGACAUGUUAUUCCUGAGUUCUGCUGAUGUCUAAAGAUGUUGCCAAUACGCUAAAUGGAAACCAGCCAGAUCAAAUCGUUAUGAACAAAAUAUCACAGAGAGAAAAUUAACUUUUAAAAAAUUUAAUACAAAUAAAUGGUAAUUCCCAAUUUUCUUACCCUUAGGAGCA
rnacentral:lncRNA from 1 species